UUCGCACACAUCCCUCUCUUCCGCCGCCAGCUAUCUUUCUCAACCUAAGGAAUUCACAGGAUUUGUGGAAUCCCAUUUCCAAAUCAUUCCUUCUCAACUAUAACGGCAUCAGAGGAAGUAGAAGUAGAUCAAAUUAUUUUCUCAAGGAUACAUUUUAGUGGAUUGGCGGUUCGAUUAUCCUAUCAAUUUGUAAUCCUUGUUCACUUAUCGGGAUGGGCGGCAUUGGAAAUAUUACGUUUAUCAUGUGAGACGACAAUCAUCGGAAAGACAACUCUUGCCAUAAGGGAUCGACGAUCUACCAUUCUCAAUUGCCGAACUACAAGUAUCCUAGCCCACGGGAAUUCUUCGUCUGUGUUGACACGGCAACAGCUCCGGUGACAUGUGUUCUACGAGGCGAGCGGGUCAAGCGGCAGGAGAGUCUUCCGGAGCGAAACGUCUACGAAAAGGGAAAUCUGUAGACGAUGGGGAGUCGAAUGGGAAGAGGACAAGGCUGGCAGCAAAGCCUUCAACAGCUGUUGUCGGCGUCCCUGUACCAGUAAAGAGACCUCAACUGAGGAUCAAGAGGACCACUCGUUUUUUCCAGCGCAUCCUGAAGUCGUUGAACGAAAGGCAGAAGACUGCUGUUAGGCAGCUCGGCUUCGGUGGACUACUCGACUAUGAUGUGGCAUCUGUUCCGGGAACAUUAGCGUAUUGGCUAUUAGAGCAUUUUGACCACCGACGGUGCAGUCUUAUGCUUCCUAACGGUGUUGAGGUAGUUGUUGGCACGAAGGACGCUGAGCUAAUUUUUGGUUUCCCAAAUGGUGGGAUUACAAUUGAUCGAUGCGACAGAAACACAUGCAUGAAAUACCUGGAAACCGUUCCACUUGAUGAGGAGGCUGAUGUGAAUGCUAUGCAGACCAAGGUCCUAGAAACGAAGCUGCUACAAGAAACUGGGGGGCGCUCUUUUUAAGAAAAUAUUCCUGUUACUGCUGGAAACGGCUCUCAUUGAGACCUCCCCUUGUGGCUAUGUGAGACCCCGGAUUGUUGACAUUCUCGGAGAUUUACAGAAGGUAAAGAAGCACAAUUGGUGUAAGUAUUUGCUAGACAAUCUGUUGCGGACGCACGGGCUAUGGAAGAAUAACAAAUCGAAGGUUUUCAGCGGGCCAGUAGUUUUCCUAGUGUCCUUCUACGUCGAUCGAGUAGUGCAUUGCAGGAGAUGUGUGGCACGUGCCAUUCCUAGAAUAAAGGGGUGGACGACCGAACUAUUGAAAGAGAGAGAGGAAGUUGAAAUGAAAGAAGCUGAUUUUGGGCUUGGACGAGUGACUUCACAGCUGGAUGAGAAUGAAAUGGGUGGUGCAGAAAUGACAACAGAAGUGCAAAGGCCAGCUGAUGAAGAUGUUGCUGAUGCGCAAGAUACUGAAGACUUUGUUGAACCGCCACCAACUGACCAUGGUGAACCGUGGUCCACUAAAGAUGUUGUCGAAGAGAUAUAUACGUCGGAUGAAGUGGUGUAUAUGAGGGGUGUUUGGGGGGCAACCAAGCACAUAGGCGAUGGUCUGAAGAUGCUUGCCAAGGAAUUAAAUAAAGCUCCGCCAGAAAUCGGGAAGAAGGACAGCUUUAGAAUAACUUCGUCCAAAGUUUCAAACACCUGGCCAAUGUAAGGCUUCAUGUCGGGUCUUCAAUCUGGGAUAAGUGCAUCUAUAAACAAAAGAAAUAAGUGUCCAAAUGUCAUCACAGAAUGUCAGUGACCGAAUUGGCAGAUUGUCAUCGCAAACUAUAUCAGAUAAACACAUUGCUGGUA